rnacentral:lncRNA from 1 species
ACAUGAUGGAUUCAGAAGCUCAUGAAAAGAGGCUGCCAAUACUAAUAUCUUCAAAACAAGAUAUAUCACCUCAUAUUACAAAUGUUGGUGAAAUGAAGCAUUAUUUGUGUGGCUGCUGUGCAGCCUUCAACAACAUCACAAUCACAUUUCCCAUUCAGAAGGUCCUCUUUUGACAACAGCUGUAUAGCAUCAAAACUCGUGAUGCAAUACUUCAGUUGAGAAGGGUUGGAUUUCAAAACUUGUAUCGUGGAAUCCUUCCCCCAUUGAUGCAGAAGACAACUACACUUGCACUUAUGUUUGGUCUCUAUAAGGAUUUAUCCUACCUUCUCCACAAGCAUGUCAGUGCUCCAGAGUUUGCAGCCCGUGGUGUGGCGGCAGUGCUUUCAGGGACAACAGAAGCAAUUUUCACUCCUCUGGAAAGAGUUCAGACAUUGCUUCAAGACCACAAGCAUCAUGACACAUUUACCAACACGUAUCAGGCUUUCAAGGCACUGAAAUGUCACAGAAUUGGAGAGUAUUAUUGAGGCUUGGUGCCCAUUCUUUUCUGGAAUGGACUCAGCAAUGUCUUGUUUUUCGGCCUUCGAGGUCCCAUUAAGGAGCAUCUGCCUACCGAAAUGACUCACAGUGCUCAUUUGGUCAAUGAUUUUAUCUGUGGAGGUCUAUUGGGUGCCAUGUUGGGAUUCUUGUUUUUUCCAAUUAAUGUUGUAAAAACUCACAUAUGGUCUCAGAUUGGUGGGGAAUUUCAGUCUUUCCCCCAGGUUUUCCAAAAAGUCUGGCUGGAAUGGGACAGAAAACUGAUAAAUCUUUUCAGAGGUGCCUAUCUGAAUUACCAUCGGUCCCUUAUUUCUUGGGGCAUAAUCAAUGCAACUUAUGAGUUCUUGUUAAAGAU